AAAGUCGUAACAAGGUUUCCGUAGGUGAACCUGCGGAAGGAUCAUUAUUGAAUAAGUUGAGGGGUUGUAGCUGGCUCUUCGGGGCAUGUGCACGCCUUUCAAACUCAUCUCAACCACCUGUGCACCCUUUGUAGACCUGGAAAUGGAUCUCUCAAGGCAACUUGGAUUUUGAGGGUUCUGCUGGCUUUCCCAUAAGUUGGCUUCCCUUUGCUGUUUUCAGCGUCUAUGUUUUAUAAUAUACACCAUUUAAAUGUUAUAGAAUGUCUUUGAUGGGGCCUGUCGUAAAAAAGCAGCGUCCUUUAAAAAAUUAUACAACUUUCAACAACGGAUCUCUUGGCUCUC
rnacentral:misc_RNA from 1 species